AACGAACGCUGGCGGCAUGCCUAACACAUGCAAGUCGAACGAGACCUUCGGGUCUAGUGGCGCACGGGUGCGUAACGCGUGGGAACCUGCCCUUAGGUUCGGAAUAACUCCCCGAAAGGGGUGCUAAUACCGGAUAAUGUCUUCGGACCAAAGAUUUAUCGCCUUUGGAUGGGCCCGCGUUGGAUUAGCUAGUUGGUAGGGUAAACGCCUACCAAGGCGACGAUCCAUAGCUGGUCUGAGAGGAUGAUCAGCCACACUGGGACUGAGACACGGCCCAGACUCCUACGGGAGGCAGCAGUGGGGAAUAUUGGACAAUGGGCGAAAGCCUGAUCCAGCAAUGCCGCGGGAGUGAUGAAGGCCUUAGGGUUGUAAAGCUCUUUUACCCGGGAUGAUAAUGACAGUACCGGGAGAAUAAGCUCCGGCUAACUCCGU
rnacentral:rRNA from 1 species